rnacentral:lncRNA from 1 species
UUCAUCUGGCCAUGAACAUCCCAAAGAUUUAGACGGACAAAUGCAGGAUACUUUUCUUCCAAAUAUAGGAAUACAGGAAAAUGUCUUGUCUUUGCAAAGCAAUUUGGAUGAAAAAACAAAGGCAGAUGAGGCAAAUACGAGUGAGAUGGAAACACUCCUGAAUCUUUAUGAACUGCGGGUAACUGAAAUCACAGCAUGUGGUAAAGAAACAUUCAAACCAGGUAGUGAAUCAUGUGAUUUGGAGCUAGUUGCAGAGAUUAAGAAAGAGGUGGUUAUUGAGAGUAAUGCCAAGGUUGUAACCGCCAAAAAUCAAGAUAUUAUUAAGGUUGAAUCUAAAGACCAUGACAUGUUGGAUAUGCCUCCAAAAUCUGAUAAUAAAAGCAACACAAAGGUUGCUGACAAAAUGGCCAUGGAUAAAGGGAAUAAAGGGUCUUGGUCUAAAGGUAAAAGCCCUCUUUCCAAACUCUUCACAUCUGGUCCAAUUAGGAAAGAGAACAAAAGUGAGACAAAAACGGAAAGCAAAAGAUCCGGUAUAAAACCUAGAAAUUUACUGGGCAGACUCUUUUCAUCCUCUGAAACAGAGUCAGAAAUAAAGAAAACACCAGAUAUCAAAAUAGAAACUACAUGUGAGAAAGAGCCAGAGACAACUGAAGGGACAGAAUAUGACACUGCAUUGAUUCAAAAAAAUGUUUCUGUAUCUCUUCCUCUGACUGAGCCCUCCUUUCAAAAUACACCUCAUGAGCCCAGAAAACCAACAGAAAACCAACUAAGUGAUGCUGCAGAAGAACUUAAUCCAACAGAGGGCCUUGAAAAUCACAUUUUAUUGCUUAAUGGAAACUCUGCUGAUGACACGGUGCCAUUAACAGAUCUCGAGUCAAUUGAACAACACAAGCCCGCUUCUGGUGGUCUUUGGGAGAUUGAUAGAAAUGAGGCUCUUAUUCCUUCACAAGAACACAUUCAUGUAGAUCUCACCUCUCCAGACUCUUCAAAACCAUCAGGUCUUGAAGAGAGCCUCAACUCCUCUUUGCCUCAGAAUGAAGAUACAACUGGUUUUCUUGAUUCAUCUGAUGCAUUUACAUCUCAAGUAACAAACUCGAACACAGAUGUUGUGGCUUUUUCAGGUUCAAAUAUACUUGAUUAUACACACAGUGGCAAAUUGACAGACAUUAUGGAUUUGGAAACACCAUCAGUGGAAACUCCAUUAGUAGAUAUAGCGAGCUCCUUUAUUCAAGAAGACCCAUUUGGAGCUCAAGAAGAAAGUGAAGAUACAACAUUAAGC